CCUACGGGAGGCAGCAGUGAGGAAUAUUGGUCAAUGGGCGAGAGCCUGAACCAGCAAAGUAGCGUGAAGGAUGACAGCCCUAUGGGUUGUAAACUUCUUUUAUAAGGGAAUAAAGUGCCCCACGUGUGGGGUUUUGUAUGUACCUUAUGAAUAACCAUCGGCUAAUUCCGUGCCAGCAGCGCAGGUAAUCAGGAGGUGGCGAGCGUUAUCCGGAUUUAUUGGGUUUAAGGGGAGGGUAGGCGGUUUCAUAAGGCAGCGGUAAAAUCGGGCGGCUCAACCGUACCGUGCCGUUGAAACUGUGGGACUUGAGUAUGCGAAGGGUACGUGGAAUUCGUGGUGUAGCGGUGAAAUGCUUAGAUAUCACGAAGAACUCCGAUCGCGAAGGCAGUGUACCGGAGCAAAACUGACGCUGAGGCUCGAAAGUGUGGGUAUCAAACAGGAUUAGAUACCCCAGUAGUC
rnacentral:rRNA from 1 species